GUAAGUAUAGUUUAACCAAAAUGUCAGAUUGUGAUUCUGAAGACAGGGGUUAAAACCCCCUUACUCACC
rnacentral:tRNA from 1 species